rnacentral:rRNA from 1 species
GACGAACGCUGGCGGCGUGCCUAAUACAUGCAAGUCGAACGCAGUGGGGACGGGUGAGUAACACGUGGGUAACCUCCCAUCAGAGGGGAAAACAAUUGGAAACAGGUGCUAAACCGAUAGUGAUGGAUGGACACGCGGUGCAUUAGGUAGUUGGUGAGGUAACGCCUCACCAAGGCCACGAUGCAUAGCCUACCUGCGAUGGGGAUCUGCCACUCUGGUACUGAGCCACGCCCCAGACUCCUCCGGGAGGCAUCAGUAGGGAAUCUUCGGCAAUGGACGAAAGUCUGACCGAGCAACGCCGCGUUAGUGAAGAAGGUUUUCGGAUCGUAAAACUCUGUUGUUAGAGAAGCGGUAUCUAACCAGAAAGCCACGGCUAACUACGUGCCAGCCGCCGCGGUAAUAC